ACACAAUCUUCAUUCCCAUUAUUAUUAUUUGGUUCACCAGGUUUCCAGUUUGAGUAGCUGAUUAUCCUUCCAUUUGGGUAUCUAAAACUUCCCUCAAUCUGAAUGUCAUUAAUACCAAGAAAUGGUCUCUUAUUAUUUUGUAAAGCCACGGCUAGUACAGCUCGGUUCUCUCCUGCAUUGGUUGGUGAAGCAAGCUGUGCUCCAGCUGAAUCGCAAAUUGCUUUUCCGUCAUAG